GAUGAACGCUGGCGGCGUGCCUAAUACAUGCAAGUCGAGCGAACAGACGAGGAGCUUGCUCCUCUGACGUUAGCGGCGGACGGGUGAGUAACACGUGGAUAACCUACCUAUAAGACUGGGAUAACUUCGGGAAACCGGAGCUAAUACCGGAUAAUAUAUUGAACCGCAUGGUUCAAUAGUGAAAGACGGUUUUGCUGGCACUUAUAGAUGGAUCCGCGCCUCAUUAUCUGGUUGGUAAGGUAACGGCUUACCACGGCAACGAUGCGUAGCCGACCUGAGGGGGGGAUGGGCGACACAGGGAGUGAGAGACGGUCCAGGCUCUGAGGGGAGGCAGAAGUAGGGAAGCUAGGGAAAUGGGCGAAAGCCUGACGGAGCAACGGAGGGCGAGUGAAGAAGGGCUGCGGGUGGGAAAACGCUGUUCUGAGGGAAGAACAAAUGCGUAAGUAACGAUGCGCGUCUGGAGGGAACGGAAGCAGAAAGCCACGGCAAACUACUG
rnacentral:rRNA from 1 species